rnacentral:rRNA from 1 species
GCAAGUCGAACGAGAAUGUUACUUCGGUAACAGGACAGUGGCGCACGGGUGAGUAACGCGUAGAGAUCUACCAAGCAGUGGGGAACAACUAUUGGAAACGAUAGCUAAAACCGCAUACGCCCUUUGGGGGAAAUAUUUAUAGCUGUUUGAUGAGUCUGCGUUAGAUUAGCUAGUUGGUGAGGUAACUGCUCACCAAGGCAACGAUCUAUAGCUGGUUUGAGAGGAUGAUC